UGUUGUAAAGUAUUUGUAAAUGGAGUAGAAAAAAUGGCUUUGUUGGUGGCUUCAGGUUGCUUCGCUAGAAAUAGAAAGAGGGUUACCUAGAGGAUGAACUUAACGGAGGAAAAAUAAAAACCCUAGAUAGAAAGAAGAACUUGCUCCUCCUCUGACGGUGCCAGAGCGAGGCUGAGUUUCCCUGGGUGGUGGCUCCACGUGUGUUGGCGGAGAUUGGUCGGCUUCACUAGAGAGUGCGCUGUGCUGCGGGUGGGACAGUGUCGAUGCGCAAAAAAUAGAGCACCAAAGUUGGGCGAGACUGCCAUCGACCGUGAUCUGCCGGUGGAGCCCAUAUCGCUGUUUUCUUCUUCACGCCACCUUCUUGGGUCAUCCUUGACUGCUUCUAUCAUAGAAUCUGCCAUAUCUGCAUUUCUCAGAGCCAUACAUGUUGCAACCUUAAUUUCUGUAAUUGCUUUCAGACGUGAUAGGAACGACAGAAAGCGGGAAUGUUAGGCCGGAACAUCUACUGGAUCUUGCCGACGUAACUAGGGAGGUCAUGGAAUUGCUCCGCAACCUCAGCUAGCAUUUUGUCGAGUAUGUUUUUGAAAAUGUGUUGCUUGGGAAAUAGUCAAUUUGCAUGAAUAUCGUAUCUGUAAGGGAAAGUCAGAUGUUUUGAGAUGAUACUUUGCAUGUAUCUGUACCUGGAUGAUAAGGGGAUUAACUGUUUAUUGUUGUGAAUUAGUGUUAUGCUGUACUAUUUUUUAAUUCAAUCAGGUUGAAUAGUUC